AUUGAACGCUGGCGGCAGGCCUAACACAUGCAAGUCGAACGAGGGGCGGACGGGUGAGUAAUGUCUGGGAAACCGCCCGAGGGAGGGGGAACACUACUGGAAACGGUAGCUAAUACCGCAUACCCUCGGAUGUGCCCAGAUGGGAUUAGCUAGUAGGGGGGGUAACGGCUCACCUAGGCGACGACCCCUAGCUGGUCUGAGAGGAUGACCAGCCAAACUGGAACUGAGACACGGUCCAGACUCCUACGGGAGGCAGCAGUGGGGAAUAUUGCACAAUGGGCGCAAGCCUGAUGCAGCCAUGCCGCGUGUAUGAAGAAGGCCUUCGGGUUGUAAAGUACUUUCAGCGAGGAGGCGUUACUCGCAGAAGAAGCACCGGCUAACUCCGUGCCAGCAGCCGCGGUAAUAC
rnacentral:rRNA from 1 species